rnacentral:lncRNA from 1 species
CUCCUCCUCUCCUCUCUCUCUCUCUCUCUCUCUCUCUCUCUCUCUCUCUCGUUCGCUGGUAGGGUUAGGGAAAGGAGGGGAGGAAGAAGAAGAGUAGAAAUGGGACCAGGAGGUCGCCCAGGGUGGGGCCCAGGGCCGGGAGGGCCGGGAGGGCCGGGACCUUCUCCCUGCGGCUGCUUCAAUGGAUGGUAGGUCGAUCUCCUGCUUGCUGAAACCCUAGAAUGCUUGCUUGCUUGCAUAAUUAACACGUACUUUUCUGCAUUUUAUUACGUCGCCAACCUCGGCCAUUCCUGGAUCCAGAAAACCCAAGAAGUAGAGAGAGAGAGAGAGAGAGAGAGAGAGAUAGACAGACAGAGAAAGAGAUUAUACUACAUUAACAAACCUUAGAGAGAGGAGAGUAGAGUGAGAACGAUAAGUGCAGCUAUAAACGAGGGAGGGACGAAUGAAGCGAGAGAACUUGCCGCUGAUAAACCAGAAGAGGAGGGAAAGCGAAAGAGAGAGAACUACGACUGCUUACGUAACACAGAAAGAGAGAGGGAGAGAGAGAGAGCUCUACAGCUGCAUCAUAUAUAAGCCGCAGAGAGAGGAGAGAGACAAGACACAGAGGAAUGAGACCUCCAUCAGUCCUGACCACGGUGUUCUCUCCAUGCGUGUUCCCACUGCAGCCUCUACUUCCUCUGUUGCUGCUGCAUCUUCCAGGCCUGCUGCAGCUUCCUGUUCGGCGGACCUCCUGGACCUCCUCGCUAGAUCAGGCUGCUCUCUGCCGAACCAUGAUGAUGAUGAUGAUGAUGAUGAUGAUGAAGAAGAAGAAGAAGAAGCCGAGCUCUCUUCAUGGGCUCUUCCCUUCAGAUUCCAUGCUCGCUAUGGAUAGAAGGGUGCAUGUAUAAACGGAGGGUAAAAGUUGAUGGCUCUCUAAUGCCGAUCUUAGGCUUGUAAUCACCAUUAUAAAACCUGAUUAGCCUAAUCCCCCCAGAGAUUUCCAGUACGUUCGGAAAUUUCGCUGAAGAAUAAUAGUUCAGGCCCGGAGAAAGCCCAACCGGAAGAGUCCUGCCAGACCCACCCCACCUAACCCAAAUACAGAUUUGCGCUCAUCUAGCUUGAAAGCCCAUAAAGCGUUGACUUCUUCCCAUCUCCCUCCCUCUCUCUCUCUCUCUCUCUCUCUCUCUCUCUCUCUCUCUCUCUCUCUCUCUCUCUCUCUCUCUCUCUCUCUCUCUCCUCUCUCUCUCUCUCCCCUCCUCUCCUCCUCUCUCUCUCUCGCUUCCUCUCUCCCUCUCCCUCUCCCUCUCCCUCUCCCUCUCUCACACGUCGGCCUUGGAGGCGGCAAGGGCCAUAGGCAGGUCCCGGCGCUGCUUUCAGCGUGGAGAGAGCUAGAGAGAGAGCGAGCGGGCAAGCGAGAGAGCGAGAGAGAGAGAGAGUCGAAGGACUUCAUUCAUUCGAUUUGAUCAUUGGAGAUCCGAUCGACGCAGGACGCGUGUCGUGUGCUGAAUCGGCCAGACUCUGCCACCUGGAUUUUCUCAGGACUCGCAAAUGACGUCACAUAUUUGGAAACCUGGCAGAUCUGCUGAGUUUGGCCCCCGGAUCGUGCCACGUUUAUUUCGGCAAACUCGACGACUCAUCGCCUACCUGAUUCGGACAGCUGGUUGGAUCUAUUGGCCUGGCUUGACCACCCAGAUCCUGCCACGUUGACACAGCGCGUACCAAUGACGUCACACCGUGUCAAGAGAUGAUCCAGACAGGUGCCGAGGACAGCGGGGCCGGCCCACCUGAGGAAUCUACGUCGGAUAGACCGCCACCGUGUAAGAGGUAAUACUUUAAUUAUUUAUAUAAUAUAAAGAGGUAAUACUUUAUUAUUAUCAAAAACCUGAAUAAUUCUCCCUUUUUUCUCAUCUCUCUCUCUCUCUCUCUCAACUAGGAAGUCCACGUGGACCUGACAUUGAUGUCAUCGCCGUUGGUGGGGCCCCGGACGGCGAUUGCGACGACAGCGAGCUACCCCGUCCCUGGCUGAUGUAGCUGUCGCGGGGGAUAUAAAUUUAAAUAAACCCUUAAAAUAUAUUUAAUUGCAAAUUUUCUCUAAUAUAUAACAUAAUUUCUACUUCACA